rnacentral:tRNA from 1 species
GGUUUUAUAGUCUAAUUAGGAUGUUAGUUUGCAAAUCUAAAGGUGUAAUUUACUAAAACCU